AUUGAACGCUGGCGGCAGGCCUAACACAUGCAAGUCGAGCGAGCGGCGGACGGGUGAGUAAUGUAUGGGGACUGCCCGCUAGAGGGGGAUAACUACUGGAAACGGUAGCUAAUACCGCAUACUAUCGGAUAACCCAUAUGGGAUUAGCUAGUGGGUGAGGUAAUGGCGCAACUAGGCGACGAUCCCUAGCUGGUCUGAGAGGAUGAUCAGCCACACUGGGACUGAGACAGGGCCCAGACGCCAACGGAGGAAGCAGGGGGGAAUAUUGCAAAAGGGGCGAAAGCCGGAUGCAGCCAUGCCGCGUGUAUGAAGAAGGCCCUAGGGUUGUAAAGUACGUUCAGUCGGGAGGCGUUACCGACAGAAGAAGCACCGGCUAACUCCGUGCCAGCAGCCGCGGUAAUUC
rnacentral:rRNA from 1 species